rnacentral:tRNA from 1 species
UGGCUCAGUCGAUAGAGCAUGUGACUCUUGAUCUCAGGGCUGUGAGUUCGAGCUCAC